rnacentral:rRNA from 1 species
GAUGAACGCUGGCGGCGUGCCUAAUACAUGCAAGUCGAGCGGACCAAAGAGAGCUUGCUCUCUGAGGUUAGCGGCGGACGGGUGAGUAACACGUGGGUAACCUGCCUGUAAGACGGGGAUAACUUCGGGAAACCGAAGCUAAUACCGGAUGAUAAAGAGAAACGCCUGUUUCUUUUUUGAAAGUCGGCCUUGUGCUGACGCUUACAGAUGGGCCCGCGGCGCAUUAGCUAGUUGGUGAGGUAACGGCUCACCAAGGCGACGAUGCGUAGCCGACCUGAGAGGGUGAUCGGCCACACUGGGACUGAGACACGGCCCAGACUCCUACGGGAGGCAGCAGUAGGGAAUCUUCGGCAAUGGACGAAAGCCUGACCGAGCAACGCCGCGUGAGCGAUGAAGGCCUUCGGGUCGUAAAGCUCUGUUGUCAGAGAAGAACAAGUACCGGAGUAACUGCCGGUACCUUGACGGUACCUGACCAGAAAGCCACGGCUAACUACGUGCCAGCCGCCGCCGUAACAC